CCGAAGGUAGUGCGCUAACCGCAAGGAGGCAGCUAACCACGGUAGGGUCAGCGACUGGGGUGAAGUCGUAACAAGGUAGCCGUAGGGGAACCUGCGGCUGGAUCACCUCCUUUCUAAGGAAGC
rnacentral:rRNA from 1 species